rnacentral:rRNA from 1 species
CAGCCGCCGCGGUAAUACAGAGGGUGCAAGCGUUAAUCGGAAUUACUGGGCGUAAAGCGCGCGUAGGUGGUUUGUUAAGUUGGAUGUGAAAUCCCCGGGCUCAACCUGGGAACUGCAUCCAAAACUGGCAAGCUAGAGUAUGGUAGAGGGUGGUGGAAUUUCCUGUGUAGCGGUGAAAUGCGUAGAUAUAGGAAGGAACACCAGUGGCGAAGGCGACCACCUGGACUGAUACUGACACUGAGGUGCGAAAGCGUGGGGAGCAAACAGGAUUAGAGACCCCUGUAGUCCCUGUCUCUUAUAC